AUUGAACGCUGGCGGCAGGCUUAACACAUGCAAGUCGAGCGGAGAUGAGGUGCUUGCACCUUAUCUUAGCGGCGGACGGGUGAGUAAUGCUUAGGAAUCUGCCUAUUAGUGGGGGACAACAUUCCGAAAGGAAUGCUAAUACCGCAUACGUCCUACGGGAGAAAGCAGGGGAUCUUCGGACCUUGCGCUAAUAGAUGAGCCUAAGUCGGAUUAGCUAGUUGGUGGGGUAAAGGCCUACCAAGGCGACGAUCUGUAGCAGGUCUGAGAGGAUGAUCCGCCACACUGGGACUGAGACACGGCCCAGACUCCUACGGGAGGCAGCAGUGGGGAAUAUAGGACAAUGGGGGAAACCCUGAUCCAGCCAUGCCGCGUGUGUGAAGAAGGCCUUAUGGUUGUAAAGCACUUUAAGCGAGGAGGAGGCUACUGAGACUAAUACUCUUGGAUAGUGGACGUUACUCGCAGAAUAAGCACCGGCUAACUCUGUGCCAGCCGCCGCGGUAA
rnacentral:rRNA from 1 species